GACUGGGUCACAUGUCAAUACAAGUUGG
rnacentral:piRNA from 1 species